rnacentral:rRNA from 1 species
AUUGAACGCUGGCGGCAGGCCUAACACAUGCAAGUCGAACGGUAACAGGAAGCAGCUUGCUGCUUCGCUGACGAGUGGCGGACGGGUGAGUAAUGUCUGGGAAGCUACCUGAUGGAGGGGGAUAACUACUGGAAACGGUAGCUAAUACCGCAUAAUGUCGCAAGACCAAAGAGGGGGACCUUCGGGCCUCUUGCCCUCGGAUGUGCCCCGACGGGAUUAGCUUGUUGGUGGGGUAACGGCCCACCAAGGCGACGAUCCCUAGCUGGUCUGAGAGGAUUACCAGCCACACUGGAACUGAGACACGGUCCAGACUCCUACGGGAGGCAGCAGUGGGGAAUAUUGCACAAUGGGCGCAAGCCUGAUGCAGCCAUGCCGCGUGUAUGAAGAAGGCCUUUGGGUUGUAAAGUACUUUCAGCGGGGAGGAAGGGAGUAAAGUUAAUACCGUUGCUCAUUGACGUUACCCGCAGAAGAAGCACCGGCUAACUCCGUG